AUGAACGCUAGCUACAGGCUUAACACAUGCAAGUCGAGGGGCAGCAUUUUAGUUUGCUUGCAAACUGAAGAUGGCGACCGGCGCACGGGUGAGUAACACGUAUCCAACCUACCGAUAACUCCGGAAUAGCCUUUCGAAAGAAAGAUUAAUACCGGAUAGCAUACGAAUAUCGCAUGAUAUUUUUAUUAAAGAAUUUCGGUUAUCGAUGGGGAUGCGUUCCAUUAGUUUGUUGGCGGGGUAACGGCCCACCAAGACUACGAUGGAUAGGGGUUCUGAGAGGAAGGUCCCCCACAUUGGAACUGAGACACGGUCCAAACUCCUACGGGAGGCAGCAGUGAGGAAUAUUGGUCAAUGGGCGAGAGCCUGAACCAGCCAAGUAGCGUGAAGGAUGAAGGCUCUAUGGGUCGUAAACUUCUUUUAUAUGGGAAUAAAGUUUUCCACGUGUGGAAUUUUGUAUGUACCAUAUGAAUAAGGAUCGGCUAACUCCGUGCCAGCAGCCGCGGUAAUACGGAGGAUCCGAGCGUUAUCCGGAUUUAUUGGGUUUAAAGGGAGCGUAGGUGGAUUGUUAAGUCAGUUGUGAAAGUUUGCGGCUCAACCGUAAAAUUGCAGUUGAAACUGGCAGUCUUGAGUACAGUAGAGGUGGGCGGAAUUCGUGGUGUAGCGGUGAAAUGCUUAGAUAUCACGAAGAACUCCGAUUGCGAAGGCAGCUCACUAGACUGUCACUGACACUGAUGCUCGAAAGUGUGGGUAUCAAACAGGAUUAGAUACCCUGGUAGUCCACACAGUAAACGAUGAAUACUCGCUGUUUGCGAUAUACAGUAAGCGGCCAAGCGAAAGCAUUAAGUAUUCCACCUGGGGAGUACGCCGGCAACGGUGAAACUCAAAGGAAUUGACGGGGGCCCGCACAAGCGGAGGAACAUGUGGUUUAAUUCGAUGAUACGCGAGGAACCUUACCCGGGCUUAAAUUGCAACAGAAUAUAUUGGAAACAGUAUAGCCGUAAGGCUGUUGUGAAGGUGCUGCAUGGUUGUCGUCAGCUCGUGCCGUGAGGUGUCGGCUUAAGUGCCAUAACGAGCGCAACCCUUAUCUUUAGUUACUAACAGGUCAUGCUGAGGACUCUAGAGAGACUGCCGUCGUAAGAUGUGAGGAAGGUGGGGAUGACGUCAAAUCAGCACGGCCCUUACGUCCGGGGCUACACACGUGUUACAAUGGGGGGUACAGAAGGCGGCUACCUGGUGACAGGAUGCUAAUCCCAAAAACCUCUCUCAGUUCGGAUCGAAGUCUGCAACCCGACUUCGUGAAGCUGGAUUCGCUAGUAAUCGCGCAUCAGCCAUGGCGCGGUGAAUACGUUCCCGGGCCUUGUACACACCGCCCGUCAAGCCAUGAAAGCCGGGGGUACCUGAAGUACGUAACCGCAAGGAGCGUCCUAGGGUAAAACUGGUAAUUGGGGCU
rnacentral:rRNA from 1 species